UACAGAGGGUGCAAGCGUUAAUCGGAAUUACUGGGCGUAAAGCGUGCGCAGGCGGCUUUGCAAGACAGAUGUGAAAUCCCCGGGCUUAACCUGGGAACUGCAUUUGUGACUGCAUGGCUGGAGUGCGGCAGAGGGGGAUGGAAUUCCGCGUGUAGCAGUGAAAUGCGUAGAUAUGCGGAGGAACACCGAUGGCGAAGGCAAUCCCCUGGGCCUGCACUGACGCUCAUGCACGAAAGCGUGGGGAGCAAACAGG
rnacentral:rRNA from 1 species